rnacentral:ncRNA from 1 species
GAACGAACAAAGAUUAGGAGUAUUAAGAGUUUUGGUGUUCUCAGAGAACUGUCGGUAGGUGCAAGACAGUAACAUUCGGCUCCCAACUCGCCUAGGAGUUCCUUGAUUGAACCAUAUGGUUAUCGCAUAUAGUAGGUCAAGGCGGGAAAUCCCGUUAUAGAUAUAUGAGUGCAGAACGUUAUAUAGAUGUUCUGAACUAGAGUGGUACCACGAAUGGACUAUAAGCCUUUUCGUCUCUAGA